UCACUCUGGUUCUCCUUCAAUAUGCGUACUAAUCUUUCGCCUUUUACUAAAGAUUACCGUGGAGGAGAAUAACUUAAUGAGUCUAACGAGUAAUUUUUUGCCGCCCUGCCUUUAGGCGGGGCU